UACAGAGGUCCCAAGCGUUACUGAGAAUCACUGGGUUUAAAGGGUGCGUAGGUGGUCCGUUAAGUCAGUUGUGAAAUCCCCGGGCUCAACCCGGGAAAUGCUUCUGAUACUGGCGGACUUGAGGCCAGUAGGGGUCACUAGAACUGACGGUGGAGCGGUGAAAUGCGUAGAUAUCGUCAGGAAUGCCGGUGGUGAAGACGGGUGACUGGGCUGGUUCUGGACACUGAGGCACGAAAGCGUGGGGAGCGAACGGGG
rnacentral:rRNA from 1 species